AACGAACGCUGGCGGCAUGCCUAACACAUGCAAGUCGAACGAUACCUUCGUGUCUAGUUGCGCACGGGUGCGUAACGCGUGGGAACCUGCCCUUAGGUUCGGAAUAACUCCCCGAAAGGGGUGCUAAUACCAGAGAAUGUCUUCGGACCAAAGAUUUACCGCCUUUGGAUGGGCCCGCGUUGGAUUAGCUAGUUGGUAGGGUAAAAGCCUACCAAGGCGACGAUCCAUAGCUGGUCUGAGAGGAUGAUCAGCCACACUGGGACUGAGACACGGCCCAGACUCCUACGGGAGGCAGCAGUGGGGAAUAUUGGACAAUGGGCGAAAGGCUGAUACAGCAAUGCCGCGUGAGUGAUGAAGGCGUUAGGGUUGUAAAGCUCUUUUACCCGGGAUGAUAAUGACAGUACCGGGAGAAUAAGCUCCGGCUAACUCCGUG
rnacentral:rRNA from 1 species